UGGCGUGUAGCCUGCCUAUCCAGGAGAUUGGCUUGUCCUGCCAUCUCGCUAUGUCCCGACAGAGUGUAAAGUUUGUCAGUGUAAAGUUUGUCAAGGUCCGCUGUAAGUCUGACCCCCAGGUAUUUAAUGUUGGAUGUUGUGAUUUUGAGUGUGUGAGUGUUUUUUAGCCAGGUGACCUCCUCUUGGUCCAUCCUGAUUGACAUGGUCACCGAUUUUUCUAGGUUGAUCUUAUAACCCGACUUGUAUCUGUAC